GACGAACGCUGGCGGCGUGCUUAACACAUGCAAGUCGAACGGAAAGGCCCUGCUUUUGUGGGGUGCUCGAGUGGCGAACGGGUGAGUAACACGUGAGUAACCUGCCCUUGACUUUGGGAUAACUUCAGGAAACUGGGGCUAAUACCGGAUAGGAGCUCCUGCUGCAUGGUGGGGGUUGGAAAGUUUCGGCGGUUGGGGAUGGACUCGCGGCUUAUCAGCUUGUUGGUGGGGUAGUGGCUUACCAAGGCUUUGACGGGUAGCCGGCCUGAGAGGGUGACCGGCCACAUUGGGACUGAGAUCCGGCCCAGACUCCUACGGGAGGCAGCAGUGGGGAAUAUUGCACAAUGGGCGGAAGCCUGAUGCAGCAACGCCGCGUGCUGGAUGACGGCCUUCGGGUUGUAAACCGCUUUCGCCUGUGACGAAGCGUGAGUGACGGUAAUGGGUAAAGAAGCAGCGGCUAACUACGUG
rnacentral:rRNA from 1 species